UUUACAUAACUGGCAGCUGCUUUUGUCCAAAGCGCCCAUAGGAGUGAGUCAAAUAACACAUUACAAACAUAUGCACUGCCAAAGAGCCGACUUGGCGUAAAUGCAGCUAGGCUGAGCUUCCAAUGAAUAUACGGGCAUUCUGGCGGCGCGCAGCAUGUUUGCGGAAAGUCACAACUGAACAUCAGUGCAACAAAUGUUGGCAAGUGGCCUCAUGAGCCAUGAUCCAAGAGGUUGCUUUCUGAAGGGAGAAUGAAGGUAUGCGCUGCCGACGCCAGAGACAGCUCGAGACCUCAGCCGCCGAUCCCUCGGUUCUUGUAAAUCACGUGACUGUCACCUCAUACAAACUAAUGGCAGGAGCCCAAACGGGUGUGAUAAACAAGGAAGGAGUUCUCGACAAG